rnacentral:rRNA from 1 species
UGAGGAAUAUUGGUCAAUGGGCGAGAGCCUGAACCAGCCAAGUAGCGUGAAGGAUGACUGCCCUAUGGGUUGUAAACUUCUUUUAUAAAGGAAUAAAGUCGGGUAUGGAUACCCGUUUGCAUGUACUUUAUGAAUAAGGAUCGGCUAACUCCGUGCCAGUAGCCGCGGAAUAUGAGUCU